rnacentral:lncRNA from 10 species
UUAGGCCUGCCAGAAACUGGUCAUCUCGCUGAACAGGUGAAACGGAUGCAUAAAGUAACAGGGCCAGGCUGGAAUGGUGUGGACAGGAAGUGCUGCAGGAGCUCAGGUGAGCGGGAGACCUCAAACUUGGGGCAGUUUGAACUGGGCCUUACAAGAUGGGUAGGGUUUGUAAGGCAGAGAGAAAGAACAUUCCUGAACAACCAUGUAUGAAGUCAUUGAAGGUCAAUGAGAAAGCCUGUUUGUUGAAACAGGGUGUGUGGACAAAAUUGACUUGUGAGAUGUCUGUACAGAGGUGACG